GCAGUGUUGGUUCAGUGGUAGAAUUCUUGCCCUCCAUGCAGGAGACCUGGGUUCGAUUCCCAGCCAGUGCA
rnacentral:tRNA from 1 species